rnacentral:tRNA from 1 species
CGACGUGUAGCGCAAAGGGUGGCGCACCUGCACGACAGGUAGGAGGCUGGAGGUUCGAUCCCUCUCGCGUCGA